UACGAAGGGGGCUAGCGUUGCUCGGAAUCACUGGGCGUAAAGCGCACGUAGGCGGCUUUCUAAGUCAGGGGUGAAAUCCUGGAGCUCAACUCCAGAACUGCCUUUGAUACUGGAAAGCUUGAGUUCGGGAGAGGUGAGUGGAACUGCGAGUGUAGAGGUGAAAUUCGUAGAUAUUCGCAAGAACACCAGUGGCGAAGGCGGCUCACUGGCCCGAUACUGACGCUGAGGUGCGAAAGCGUGGGGAGAAAACAGG
rnacentral:rRNA from 1 species